rnacentral:rRNA from 1 species
UGGGGAAUUUUGGACAAUGGGGGAAACCCUGAUCCAGCCAUGCCGCGUGCGGGAAGAAGGCCUUCGGGUUGUAAACCGCUUUUGGCAGGAACGAAACGGCGCGCGCUAAUAACGCGCGCUAAUGACGGUACCUGCAGAAUAAGCACCGGCUAACUACGUGCCAGCAGCCGCGGUAAUACGUAGGGUGCAAGCGUUAAUCGGAAUUACUGGGCGUAAAGCGUACGCAGGCGGCUAUGCAAGACAGGUGUGAAAUCCCCGGGCCCAACCUGGGAACUGCAUUUGUGACUGCAUAGCUAGAGUCCGUAAGAGGGGGGUGGAAUUCCACGUGUAGCAGUGAAAUGCGUAGAGAUGUGGAGGAACACCGAUGGCGAAGGCAGCCCCCUGGGAUGAGACUGACGCU